AGACGUAAGGAAAAGGACCGGGAGGGGCGGCUAACUCGGUCGGAGAGCUAGCGGCCCCCCGCACAUGCGCACCUGGGGUGGAAGAGCCCACAUGCGCUGCAUAAUAGGAAUGGCCCCUCCCCCACCCAGAAGCACGCCAGGCUGCCGACCACUACGGCAGCCCUCGGCGCCUCAGUUUCCCGCUCCGAGCCUGCGAGUCGGCUCUGGGGACGUCCGGAGGGCCCAGCCACCAGAGAAGCCUCGCCGACUCGGCUCCUCAUUCCACUCCUGCAUGAGCGAUUCGUCUUGCUCCCAACCUCGGAGCCCACCUCCCCAUUUUCUAUGUGAAGGCCUUGGAGCCUUCCCCAACUACUCCAACCUAUUUCCUCAAGGCAGGAAGACCCUGACCGCCUCACCGCGGGUCCUCGAACUCAACGAAGGCGAAGGGCGGUCCUCCGCGGCGGUUCUUCAGAUCGAUGUCGCGGAUAGCACCGUAUUUGUAGAACACGUCCUCAAUGUCCUUGGUUCGGAUGUCUGGAGGGAUGUGAGGCAGUUUACAGAGAUACUAUAAAACAUUACUAAAACUGGAUGGAGAAAUCAUGGGGAAAAUAAAGGAGGAGGAUUAAAAUGAAGGCAUCGAUAAGCUCAGGAGUCCCCAACCCCUGGGCUGAGGACCGAUACUGUUCGUGACCCGGCCGCACAGCAGGAGAUGAACGGCAGGCGAGUGAGCAAAGCUUCAUCUGCGGCUCCCCAUUGCUCGCAUUACCGCCUGAACCUUCCCACACCUUCCCACUCGCCCCGCCGUCCGCGGAAAAAUUGUCUUCCACGAAACUGGUCCCUGGUGCCAAAAAGGUUGGGGACCGCUGCUUUAGCUCAUCCUUCAAUGACAUAUUUUUAAACUGAGCUUUCAAUUUAAAGAGAGAAGACCCUGGGAAUUUCCUGGAGGCCCAGUGGUUAGGACUUCUUCCUUCCACUUCAGGGAGCACGGGUUCCAUCGUUCCAUCCCUGGUCAGGGAAUCCCACAUGCGCGGUGCGGCCAAAAGAAAAAAAAAAGAGAAGACCCUGAUAAUUUUUCAAUGAGAAGCUGACCAAAAGGGACACUAUUUCAACAGAUUUAUUCAGUUUCUAGCACUAUCCUACUUGGUUAGCAGCAGAAGAGAUGAGAGUUUUUAAAGAAUUCCAGGCACAUCAUGUAUUGGUUCUUACAUUCAAUAUUUAUUUACUGAGCACAUUUUCUCUCUAACUUUAUCCAUCCAUUUAUGAUUAUUCAGAUUCAUCUUCUGUUGAUUAAUGUUAAGUCAGUAGUAACUGAGGUGGUUUAAACAUAGGUGCUUUUAAUUUCAAGGCAUUUUCAUUCCAGAAAAAUAAGAAAACCAUGAAUUUGCUUUGAUUUAUUCUUGUCCAGUUUAGUGCAGUCAUUUCUGAUUCUGUUCAGUUCAGAAGAAUACAGGGUAAAAUUUAAUAGAGAGUGAAUAGGACAUUCUUGUUUCUCUCUUGGCCUAUUUUACUGUGUUUGAGUGUAACCAAAUUGUAGGUUCUGGGGUCUCUUGUAACCGAAAGUGGGGUUCGGCCGCUCACCGCUCAAAAGCCAAUAAAGAGGCCAGGUUGGUGGAAAGCAAAGUUCGCUUUAUUUUGGAUGCCAGUGACUGUGGGGGAGGGUAGACGCCUGUCCAAAAGGCCGACUCCUCCCCCCCCGCCCCCCCCCCCCGACAAUGGGGGCAAGAGCUUUUAUAGACAGAGGGAGGGGGCUACAUGCAGAAAUAAUACAGUCAGCUCUGACAGUCAUCUUGAAAUUGGUCAUCAGUGGUCUUACCAGUGUCAUCGUGAUUGUUUUAGGUACAGUUAAUCUUCAGUUCCAGUUUCGGUUUGUUUCCAUUUCUUUGAGGCCAGUUCUCGGAAUUGUGGAAGCUUAUGUCACGGCUACAGCCUGGUCAUCAUGUAGUUAACUUCUUCCACCUGGUGGGGGCUUCAGUAUCUAUAAGACAGCUCACAGGAUGUGGCUCAGAAUAUUAUCUAUAGCCCUUAAGGAGUAACUAAAAGUCCUUGACUAUGCUUAAUGACUAAACUAGUAUUAUUUGGUCUCCUCUGUUUUCCUUUGUUUCUUCAUUUUCUCACUUCUCUGAUUAAACUUAUCCUUCGGCUAAAGUUUUUCCACAGACAAAAGGCAGGCUGGGACUUCCUUGGUGGUGCAGUGGUUAAGAAUCUGCCUGCCAAUGCAGGGGACACGGGUUUGAUCCCAGGUCCGGGAAGAUCCCACAUGCCACGGAGCAACUAAGCCCGUGCGCCACAACUACUGAGCCUGUGCUCUAGAGCCUGUGAGCCACAACUACUGAGCCCGCAUGCCACAACUACUGAAGCCUGCGCGCCUAUAGCCUGUGCUCUGCAGCAGAAGCCACCGCAAUAAGAGAAACCUGCGCACCGCAAUGAAGAGUAGCCCCCGCUCGCCGCAAGUAGAGAAAGCCCGCACGCAGCAAUGAAGACCCAACGCAGCCAAUAAAUAAAUAAAUAAAUAUUUUUUAGAAAGGCAGGCUAAGGACAUGGGUGCGGGAGGGGCAAGGACCAUAGGGUCCUGCUCUGUUUCCCUAUGACAAGGUCAGGAUGUAGCAAGAAAAGUCUGGAUGGCUGUUUAUCAAUGUCUCCUUGGGUGGCAUUAGCUUGGAAAUUAUUACAUUUAAGGGUAUGAUCUUAUACUAUCAGUGUCCCAGAGUAGAUUGGCAUGUUUUAGUCCACAAGAGUGAAAAAGAAGAAAGCAAAUAAACCAAACCAUUUGUUCAUUUGUUGGGGGGUGAAGCAGAUUCGUUUUUGAUAACCGUGAUGUUCAAAUUGUACACACCAAGAAAACUUUUUGUCAGGUCUGGAAAACAAAUCAAGCGGUUUCUUAGUAAAUAAGGAAUCAAAACAAAAUGAGGUGAAUCGCUUUGAGAGAUGUCUCAUUCAGAUCCUGGUGAAACCUGAUAAAUGAUCCCUGCCCCACAGCAGAGUGUACCUCUUCAAAGACAGGAAGAUUCAUACCCUCUGGAUUUUACAUCUCUGUUCCCUGAAUAGUGCUGGGUAAAGACUGGCAAUUCUCUUUCUGUAGGCUAAUCUUCAUGCAACCUUUUCUCUGAACAGUGUACUAUACAAUUGAUUAGAUCUUUGCUGACCAGAUUACAGCCACUUCGUUUUGCCUCCUGAGAUUACCUCCUCAUCUUAAUUAGGGCUUUAGAGUGUUUCUAAACUCCUCAGUUACACAGUCACAGACAGUUUUGUGGAUUGCUCUCACAACCAGCUAAUUCAUUAAGUAUGGAUUUUACCAGUUUAAUUCUUAGAAGCUGCCUAUUUCAACACUGUUGCUGUGUAUGUAAACUUACUUCCGCAAAAAGAAACUUUAAAUGCUUUCGAUUCAAUCCAGUAAGUAUAAACUAGUGUAAGCACUAUACUGUACCCUGGAAAUAAUUACUUGGGGAAAAAAGGAAAUUCAAAGAGUUAGUUACCGUAAGGGUUGAAAUCACAAGACCCAGUUUUUCAGUGAUUUUCCUAACACUUAAAUCUAUGCCUGUGGUGAUGGUUACACAAAUCUGUAAAUGUACCAAAAACCAUUGAAUUGUACAAGUAAAGCAAGUGAAUUGUAUGGUAUGUAAAUUAUAACUCAAUAAAAAAUUUUUUAAAUGACUGGGGAAAAAAAUAUCUCCACAAUCAGCAAAAUCACUCUCCAGUACCAUUCCUCUAAAGGUGUUAUUAAGGCUUGAAGGUGUUCUAGAGUAAUUUGCACUGAAAUAUGCCUUCCCUAAUCUGGAAAUUCUGUUUUCAGUAUUUGUGUAUCAAUCCCUACUGUCAUUUCUGGGGAUAACUGUUAGUUUUACUAGGUAAAGAGACACAAAGAUUAGGAGCACUUAAUUCAGCCGUGAAUAGCAGUUACUUCCAGAAAGAGUUCACUUGCAUAGUUCUCUAUUCCCUUGUUCCACCUGUUUAGUGAUUAAUAGUCUCUGAAAAAGGAAGAAAUAUUAAUAGUAUAUCUUUUUAUUUCAUUUAUAUUUGUCUCAUCUUCCCUAGUAAACUAGGUUGAGGACAGAUUUUUGCUGUAACUCCCUUUAUUACCAGUACAUUUUCUGUUAAAAUGAAUAUUAUUGACUAUUUCCUGAGUGCUCUUUGAAAAUAAUGGGACUUUAGAUGAGCAGAAUGUUGUUUCUAUGGAAACUGUAUCAUGUUUCUGUCAGUGGAUAGACACAAUGGGUACAAGGAUUGUUUUUCAUUUCACAGUGUAAUAAUGAUAGCCACUUUUCAAGCCCAAGUAAAUCAUCUAAUAAUAUAGUCUUGGUAAUCUUAUUUUAGGACUGGCCUCCCUCAUUCUUUGAUUCUUCUUGUUUUGUUUUUGGCUAAUUCUGCCCAUCUUUACUGUCCCAUUACGGAAAGCAAUAACAUAUGAUUUUGCCAGAAAACAGCUCUCAAAAUGAUCUGUUACAAAGAGAUGUAUCUUUUCCAUGUCUCCCUAUUAAUAUUAUUACUCCCUCUCUCCCUCUUCUUGCUUAAGUUCUUUUAAAAAUUAAAACACCAAAUCAUCAUAUUGUACAUUUCUUAAUUGGAGUAAAUGGCUGUUUAAAGAAUUAUAAUAAAAAUAUGGCAGAUAUCCUUUAUUUGCUAAAAAUGCUACCUUUUUUGGCAAUUUUAUACUAUGGUCCUAUAUAAGUGUUACCUGUUAGUAGUAGUAGUAAUAAUGGUAUUAUAUGUUAAUGCUGCUGUCAAGUAUGUUAGAAAUAAUUUCAAUAAAAACAUUUUUAUUUG